rnacentral:lncRNA from 1 species
CUCUGAAUGGGAUUAUAAAACGUGUCUGUAUUGCUCAUCCAGGAAGUGUGAAGUUGUAAAAAGCAAGCUAAAUUGCCAUGUUUUAUCUGCUAGUUGCUUCUGCGUUUAUUGUCUUUAUGGACUCAAAGUCCUCCAGGGAGUGUGACAAAUCCUGAUUGCAUUUUCUACUUACAGCUUUUGUUUGUUCAUAAAUGUGGAAAGAAGAAAAACUUAGUCACCGGGGAUUUGUCUAGCUGUGUGUUUGGCUACUUAAUUGCUUCAGCUUUAGUUGUUUUUUACAUUAUUCUAUCUACUUUUGGUCUGAUGCCAUGCACAGCCUACAUCUGUAAAUCUCCAUUUCCUCAUCUGGAAAAUAUAAAUAUUUUAGAGUAGUAUUGAAAGAAUUAACGUUUACAUUUUGUGUAUAUGGGUAUAAACACUCCAGUGUUUAUGAAUUUUGCUGAAGCAUGUGCAUUUAGACUUCCAAAUUAGAAAAAAA